rnacentral:lncRNA from 1 species
UGCCACUCCAAUGAAUAAAGGUAUAAAUAUGACUUAUAGUCAAAAUUCAUUUAGGGUUUUCUUUUGGGGAAAGGAUGAGAACAUAAGCUCUCCUUUCUCUCUAAAGUGGCCGGCCUCCUUGGAGGGUUUAGCUAGCAAUCCUACUACUCCAAGGUCACUCAUUUCUUCUCCAAUCUAACCUUGUUGAAGAGACUUAGAGGUUCUCAAUUUUGGGAACUUGGAGAACCAUUUCAUCCAUCCAAAUCCAUAGAUCUAAGAUGCAAGGAAUGAAGGCCCUUUCUUUGGGUGAUUAGCCUUUGCUUAUGCAAAGAGGAAUCUACAAAGGUAUAAUUUCUCAACUAACAAAUGUUGUUUUAAGUUGAGUCAAGGUUCACCAAUCUACUAGGCUUUGAAUUUCAUGGGUAAUGUUUUGUUUUUGAGUGCAUGCAAGCAUGAUUCCGCCUUUUAAUUGUUAAUUGCAUGCUAUAGAUGUUGCUGAAAUGAACAUGUUUUCACAAAAUUUCCUUCAGUUUCCCCCAUUGGGCAUGUGUCACUGGCUGGUGGCUCUUCAAUUUCAGAUUGUUCCAUCCAAGUGUCGUUGGUUUUUCCCCAUCUCAAUGUUUGAUUUGCCGAGCACUCAGUUGAACCCUGCUAGUUAGCAAUUGGUUGAGUAGGAAAAAUUGAACCGGAAUUGUUCUCUUGUUCUUCCUAUUGAUACGUGAGUUGCCCAAUUUGUUGUGCCAAAUUGUCGAUUGAAUUUAUUUGCUGCAACUUUGGGGUACUCUCCAUAAACAACCUAGUGGACUCCUCCAACUUAGCAAUCUGGUCAUCCAAAGAAAGUUUCUGUGGCACACAGGGCUGCUGAAAAGCCUGUUGAUUGCUUACCCACAUAGUAGGAUGCUCUGUCCACCGAUAUUAAGAGUUUGAAUAUGGAUCAUUCUCGUUUUCUGUGAAUUGAUACGCAAGCUAUCCAUCUUGCUCUUCCAUUAUCUUUAUUGAUGACUUGGUAUUCGGCAUGCUAUCAACAAAUUGCUUGACACACACUGCCAAUUCAGUAAGUUUGAGAAGAUCUUUGUGGCACACUUGGUUGUUCAAAGGGCUCUUGAUUACCCAUCCACAUAAAACUAGGCUGCUCUGUCCACCUUGGAUUGUAAAAUUUUGAGUAGGGAUCGCACCUAGGCCUUUGAGAGUUCCUCGUAUUGAUAUAAUUCCAUGAAGGCAACCUUCAUGUUGGUUGUAGAUUCCAGCCCAUCGUUUAAAUAUGCUUAAAACCAACGAAACAUAACCUACGAAAAUAAAAAUAAAAUCAACAAGUGAAAAGAUAUUUACAAAAUUAAUUAACUAAGAAUACGAUAAACACAAAUUAUUUGAAACAAUCCCUGGAGACGGCACCAAUUUCUUGAUAGGAUUUUUACCACCUACAAAAGUAGGGAUAAAACACUUAAAAAUACUUGUCAGAGUACAAGGUUGUCGUAGUAUAGCAGCUCAAGUCAGGUCAUUUUCCACAGGGAUUGAAUGAAUAAUGUCAUAGCCCGUCCCGAGAUUCUAUUCUCGAGGUUGUGAAACGACGAAAUUGCCCUGGCGGUUACUAAGGUAUGGGUGUGACAUAUUAUGAAUAAUAUAUAUUCUUCCCUAAGUUUUGGAAAAAUUGGAAUGUGAUUAAAGGAUAUGUGUAUAUUUGUGUGGUUAGGGAAUUAAAGAGUGGAAUUUUUUUGAGGGACCACACACACACGGGACACCCUGUCCCUUUCCUCGUGCCCUUUAUCUCUCUCCCCUUCUCAGUUCUUCCUCUCUCCCUCUCGACUCGUACGGACGAGGCACCAAAACCCUCCAACCUUCACGGAUCGACGUCAAAAAGGUAAGUUUGUGAAUCCUUGCAAGCUUGUGAGUUCAUUGGUGCAAUUUUUAGAACUUGGAACCCUCGAUAUCUCGUGAAAUCCAAAACCCAUUUUGAGAUCACUAUUCAUGCACACGUGAAUUGUUGGAUUUCAGGAAAUUCUAAGCUUAUAGUGAGCUUAGUGAGGUCCUAAGGAAGCUCGGAGUGCUUAGUUUGAAGGUUUUGGACGUCGGGAUCAUUGAGUUCAAAGUUGGCUGGUUUUCUUGGAAUUUUUCCAGUGAGAUUUCGUUAUUUUUAGAGCCUUAAAUUAGUCUAACGUGAUUCUACAUGUUGAGGGCUUCAAAUUGAUAUAAAAUAUGAAGAAAUUGGUUGAGAAAUGACGGAGAACAAGGAGAUUGAAAAAUCUCCAGUUUUCCGGCCACCGGAAAAACCAGUCCGGCGAGCCCAAGGUAGGAGACGCACAUGGGGGCGCGUGGACCCGUGCCUGUCCAGGUGCGUGGGGGCGUGUGACAAGCCCAAAAUUUUUCUAAAAAUAUGUCGACGUUCGUGACGUCGAGUAGGUCACUGUGGCAUAUUCAUAUACCCAAAUUGAGCACCGUAUGAGAAGUUAUUUUGAAUUAUCGGUUAUGUGCUUUAAUUAACGUUUUUAUAGUUGUUUCGUAUAUAGGUGACACCUAUCCCGAGGACGAGCGCAUCCAGGGAUGUCACAGGGGUUACGACCCAUCAACUUACCAGUGAGUGGGCAGAAUUUUCUGUUUAUACCUAUAUACUAUUGAUUUUCCCAGAAAUUGAAUUUAAAUGAAAGUAUGUUUUAAAAUGCCAUGCAUGCAUAUUUUGAAUUAUAUGAAUUGAUAUUUGAUGCAUAUAUAUAUAUGUGAAUUGGUGUUGUGGACGCACAGGUGAGUAUCAGGUGAGUUUUAUGUUAUUCAUGUGAAUUAUUGAUGAUGUGAAUUGUGUUGAGACCUCAUAACCUGCACCCUUGGUGUUAGUGCUUAUAGUAUUCACCGCACCGCACGCUCACCUUGGAUCCAAGUAGGUGCAUGUCGUACAGACCAUGAGAGGGUUCCAACAUGCUAGUCGUACAUAUCACUAGAGGUGGUUCCGACUGGUAGGUGACCUUAGAUUAUGCGCGCAGAUGAUUGAUGAGAGAAGCACUAGAGCGUAUUAUUUCACCAUUCUUGUCGUACAGACUACUUUAGGUAGUUCCGACUUAUGUGCAGAGUAGCGUCGUACAGGUCACCGUGGUGACUCCGGCUGGAUUGGAUAUUGAGCUAUAGAAUUAACCGUACAGGAUCAAUUGCAGGGUCUCCGGUUGAUUCAUUAUGUCACCUGUUAUAUUGAUGCAUCCAUAUUCUGUCAUUGACAUUAUUGCAUGGCAUACUUGCUGGAUUUUGGUAAAGAUUAAUGUUUUGAGAGAUUUGAACAAAUAUUAUGCUAUUAUGUUAUUUUCUGGGAAAGUAUACAGGUUUUACAGUGAGGGGUUAGAAUUGUUUUAAAUGAAAUGUUUUGGAAAACUUUGGUUUUACUGACCCACUCAAUUUUGUUUUGCGCCCCUCCAGGUUCUGGUUAGCAGUUGGUGGCUCACAAGGUUUUCUUCGGCGUUCUGACAGACUUCCUGCAUGUAGAACUCACCUGCGGGUGUUGUAAUUUAAUUAUAGUCCUACUUGACUGCACCUAGUAUUUAUGCUCUGAAAUUGUGUACUGCACACUUAAACUCACUCUAGCAUGCUAGUUGGAUAUUAUUGCUAGUAGUUGGUUUUUUAUUCCUUCGUAUUUCUCAUAUCUUUUGCUUCCGCAUCGCACUUUUGGUUACGUCACGCUCACGUGACGGCCAGCAUGCCUUGAUUUUAGGAUCGGGGUGUGUCAAAUAAUUUGUAUGUAAACUAAUUUUUAACUAACUAUUUUGAACAAAGUUUCGAAAGGAUGAUUUUGGAAUUUAAAAUAAUAAAAACGAAUUUAAAUUAAAAACAAUUAAAUAAAUUAAUUAGAGAACAAUUUAAAGAAAAUCAAUUUGUAAAAGCCCAUAGGUUCAACUGUCACCGUUACAAUCCUAUGCAAUUGUACUAAUUACUUAUGAAUUUCCACAUACAUGCUUUGAAGGUUAGGUUUUCCUAAUGCAUAUUUUCCUCGUGAUGUUCAAGCGAAAAUGUAUAUCUAACAUGCAACAUGUCUGUGAUGUUUAAAUCAAAUAUAAACAUGCAAAACUCAUUAAGCUUUGUGAAAAUCUUUUGAAAAACCAUGCAACCCUUAAGAGUGUGAUGUUCGCCUUAAAUGAACUUACAAUUACUAAUCACAAGAAGCCUUCCUCAAUUUCAGGGUGAUGUUGCAACAGAAAUUGCAUCAAAUUACUUGUCUAAAAACCCUAAUGGUCGCGAAUCACUAUGACACUUAGAUAGUUUAAUCGCGGUGAUUAAUAAUUCAAAGCAAGCAUGCAUCCAUUCAUAAGCAAAUUAAUAACAUUACAUAUUCAUGCUAAGGCUCAUGGCUUGCACUAGUUACGAACAUUCAUAAAACAAAAUAUUAUUAAGAACAUGGAAAGAAAACACCUUGAAAAUAAACUUCCAAAACUCUCUCAAGUAGUGCGUGUGUUCUCCCCUUAUUUCUUGCGUUAAAAACCUUAAUGGCUAAAACCUUUAUUUAUACUACUACAAAAUAAAACCAUAAAAUGACACACCCUGUCCCGAAGGAGGGCAUGCUGGCCGUCACGUGAGAGUGACGUAACCAUUUACAUAGUUCGGAAGCUUUAAAGAUACAAUUACUAAGAUGUAACACCCGAAGGUGAGUCCUACUUUUGUGAAUUCUGUCAAAACACCGUUGGAUUCCUCGUGGCUACCAAAGCUUUGCUAUCUUGAACCUGGAGGGGCGCAAAAUAAAGUUGAGUGGGUUAGUAAAACAAAGUUUUUCAAAAAUCAUCUCAUUAUCAAAACGCUAACCCCUCGUUGUAAAACCCGUAUACUUUCCCAUAAAUAUGUAAAACGUAUACUUGUCUCAAAACCAUACUUAGAAGUAGUGAUAUGUGAAUUAUAUGACAUGCCAAAAUAUAUAUCUCAUCAAAUCAUAUAAGUAACUCAUGCCAAACAAUAUGUCAACCGGAUCCACCUAUAGUGGCCUGUACGGCUGAAUCUAUAGCUCAUAAUCAAUCUCAUCAAUCUUAUCUAGCCAGAGUCAUCGCAAGUGACCUGUACGGCACUACACUGCACACGAGUCGGAACCCCUGAAAAGGUCUGUGCGACUAAAUUGGGUGAAAUAUAGUUAUGCUCACGCUAUCCUCCCCUGAUAGCUAUGCGAUAAAUCGCUAGUCACCUACGAGUCGGAACCACCUCUAAUGGUUUGUACGACAUGUCGGAACCACCUCUAAUGGUCUGUACGACAUGCACCUAAAUUGGAUCCAAUUAUGAGCAUAUGGUGCGGGGGUGACUCUAUAUAUAUAGGCCUGAAUCAUCUCUACUAAAUCACAAUCACCUUAGUGCAGGUUUAUAAGCUUUAAAUCAUAUCAACUCAACAAUUACAUAAUUUAAUUUAUGAAUUUACCUGGCACUUACCUGUGCAUCCGCAGCACCAAUCAUGGAUGUAUGCAAUUACUAAUGCAUAAAUAAUUAGGCAUAUAUUUUGCAUGGCAUUUCAUAUCGCAUUUCAUAUCACAUUUCACUUAAGUUGAUUUCUUGGGAAAAAUCUCAUUUAUAUAGAUAUAUACGGAAAACAAAACUGCCCACUCACCUGGAGUUCGCCCUACAACUCCCUAGCACAACACAUCAAGGCAUCAUGACAUCAAAUCAAACCUCAGAGAUCAUAUCGAUAUAAUAUAUAACUUAUAUAAAACACGUCACUGCGUAGUUUGAUCCGGAAGAUUUGCAACUCAGAUUUCCGAUCCAUAACUUCCAAAGGUCCACAAUAUAUCUCUAGAACAACAUCCUAAAAUUUCCUUACCAUCCAACAGUCGGAUCUCCGUCAAUUGUUAACACCAAGUGACGGUUAACAUUUUAUUUUAUGAACUUACAACUCCAAUUCCGGAAGAUCCGUAAAUCGGAUUCUCAAUCCAUAAGUUCCUAUAAUCCUCAAAUAUUACGUAUUACAACAUAUCAAAGUUUGGUGACGAUCCAACGGUCGGAUCGUCAAUUCACAUUUUCACCUAACCACGAAUCGUAACGAACUUAGGUUCAAUUACUCAAUUUACGUCAAUCAAUUAUCAAAACUGAACCUAGAACAUUAAACACAUGCUAAGAAUGACAUUGGCGGGCCACUGGUCACGUGCCGCCGCAUGGGCCGCCGCGGGUGGCAGUCGGCUGCCCUGGCUCGCUGGAAAAUCCAACUAUCUCCCAAAAUUACCAAAAUUUCCAGAAAUGAAGAUCUCAAUGAGUAGAGUAAACUUUAUACCUGAGGCCAAGGCCAAUUUGGCCUGGAAAAGCUCCAAUUUUGCCAAAACUGUGAAGAACCCUAGAAAUGGGUGAGUUCCAAUUCGUCUUCAAAUCAACUCCGCCGUCCCAACCAAUGCUUGGGCUUUGUUCUAGGCCUCAAGAGGAUGCUAUGGGUGGUGGCAAUUGAAAGAAAUUGCUUCAAAAAUGUAAGAAUUUCGAACACCCAUCCACCGCGCCACCGGUGCGUUUUUCUCAAUUUCUAACUCCAAACUUUCCAAAUUUUGGGAUGUAAUAGGUAGAGGAAAGGCUAAGGAGUUGAUUGGUAGAGGUGGAAGGUUGUAAAACGCCGGAAAAUUGGACGGAAAUUCGUCGAAAUUGGGUGUGGGCACUACCGGGUCAAAGCGGGUCACGAGUUCUCCCAACCCGUUUCUCCUCUUUUCCUCCGCUUCUCACCCUCUCUCCAUUCCUCCUUUCCCUGUUCCGAUUGGUCAGUCUCACUCUCUCUCUUCUCCCCAUUCACCCAGCUUCUCUCCUUUCUCUCCCGGAGCUCCUGCUCUCUUCCUCUAGUUGGGCAGUUUUGCCCAAUCUUUCCUUCUUCUUCUUCACCAGUCACGCACACACACAUACACACACAAAACCUUCUUUUAUUUUAUUUUAUUUUUAUUUUCUUUCCCUUACAUCCAAGCCAUCCAUUUCAGAUUUCAUUUAAUCUGGGCCAUCCAAAUGGCACACCAAAUUUUUAUAAUAAAAUUCAUAAAAUGCCCAAACUUCAAACUUUAAAAUCUUUUUCGUUAUAACUCCAAAUCACGAACCGCCUACGCCCACGCUUCCGUAGCGACGAGUACUACGAGAAUAUGUCAAGAAAACAAAUCUUGGAUGGCAUGACACAAUGAUUAGCCUCGAAUAAUGCACGUGCCUCAAAGGGCAUUUUUGUAAAAUCCUUUAUUAAAACUUCAAAACUCUUAAAAUCAGGGACGGGCUGUCACAUAAAAUGUCUUGGAAUAAAACUAGGAAACAUAAUAAAAUAAUAAAAAAGAAAAUAAAAGGUUUCCUAUUUGAACUAAUAUUCGGACUUCUCAGAAAAUCAGACUUUUGACUGACCAAAUCAACUCCGAUUUAGUCCCCAAAGGUCUCUUUUGAAAGCUUAUGUCGUCCCCUACAAAUCCUCGCAAUGAAUCUUCCUCAAAAUAUUCCAUCUUGACCUUCAAAAUGUCCAAAACGUCCACAAAUGUCAAUCUGGGAAAGCUACGCGCUAGGCCUUUAUUUCAUCACCAUGGUCAAAUGGAUUGGUAGAAAAAUCUGGAAUUUUGAUACAAUCAUCUUGAAAGACUCACGAACCCCCAAAAAUUGGAAUCACUCCAAAAUUCAUCUGUUUGAUCACUUUUUGCUCCAGAGGAAGUCGAAUGUCCUACAUUGAAAAUACAUAACAAAGUAUCAAAAUUCUACCAACAUAACUAACAAAUUAAUGCUAAGAUUAGGGUAAAAUAUAUACUAUAAUAUCGACUCAUCAGAGCUUAAACUAAUAUCCACAUCAGUAUUUUUAUUUAUUUAAAUUAAAUGUCGUUCCUGUAUAUUUUACAAUAAAAUAGCUAUAUUAAGUAUUUGACUAUAUAUUGAUUUCCCAAUUUGACCUUUUAGAGCAUUUUUUUUGUCGAAAAGAUAGAACUUUAUUAAAGUCGAAUUGAUACACCUUGACCGAGAUCGAUGCAUGAUGGCCGUCACGUGAGGGUGACGUAGCCAUGUGCACAAUGCAGAAGCAAUAAUGAUAGCAGAGAAUACGAAUAAAUGAAAACCAACUCAUAAGAGUACUAGUUAAGAUAAGUGCUAGAAUAUGUGUGAAUACACAAUCAGCGCGUAAGUAGCCUAAUUUCAGUCCAGAAAACAAGUACUAGAUAAACAACACCCGGAGAUGUCCUACAUUUGUGAUAGUCUGUCAGAACCUCCAAUCGAUCCUCGUGAACCACCAACGAACAAGCUUAUCUAAAACCUGGAGGGGUGCAAAACAGAGAGUGUGAGUGGGCAAAAACAAAGCUUUUCAAAACCAUUUCAUUAUCAAAUGCUCUAACCCCUCGCCGUAAAACAUGUACAAUUUUCCUAGAAUAGAAUAUAAAUACAUAUACAUAUAUAUAUAUAUAUAUGUAUAUGUGUGUGUGUGUAUAUAUAUAUAUAUAUUCAAAUCAUGCUUCACAUAUCCAUAUUCAUAAGUAUGCCAUGCCAAAAUAUGAAGCAGAAUAAGUAACUCAGGUGAAAAUAAAUUGAUGGAAAAAUAACAUAUUAGCCAGAACCCCUGCAGAAGUCUAUACAGCUGAAUUCAUAGCUCAUUAGUCAAUCUAGCCGAAGUCACUGCAAGUGACCUAUACGGCACUACACUACACACAAGUCGGAACCACUGUAAAGAUCUGUACGACAAAACUAGGUGUAAUAUAAUUAUGCUCAAUGCUACGCGCUCAUGAUAACUGUGCGAUAAAUCGCUAGUCACCUACGAGUCGAAACCAACUAUGAUGGUCUGUACGACAAGAUUGUGCAUCUAAAUUGGAUCCAAUGUGAGCAUAUGGUGUUGGAGGUGACAUUAUAUGCAGUCCUGUGCCAUAUCUCUGGCUAAAUCACUAACACCAGGGUGCAGGUUUAUGAGCUUAAUGUUUCUCAAUUAAUCACAACCGUUAUUCACAUUCACAAUUCAUAAACUCACCUGGGGCUUACCUGAGCGUCCACAACACCACAAUUAUAUAUAUAUGCAAACAUCAUAUGCAUAUUCUAAAUGUAAAACAUUUGGCAUGGCAAUUUAAAUCAUAACUCAUUUAAAUGCAUUUUCUAGGAAAUAUACCAAGCAUAUACAUAUAUACUUAAAACCAAAAGCCCACUCACUAGUAUGUCGAAGGGUCGUAGCUCCCGAGCCGCCCUUGACUGCGCUAGUCCUCGGGAUAGGUCUCACCUAUAUGUGAAAUAACUAAAUAAACAUUAUUUAAAGCACAUAGACAAAACUACUUAACAACUUCUCAUACAUCGCUCAAAUGAGGUAUAUAAAUAUACCAUCGUGACCUACACAGCUCCAUGAUAGGAGCAUAUUUAUGUGACUUAGUUAGCUUGUUUCUUGGCAUCUAUAUUGUUAGUUCGUAGUUAUUUUAGUAUUUUAAGCUAUUUUCGUGUGUUUGUAGGUCCAAAGGGUUAAUGUGGCAAAGAAGUGCAUUUUGGAGAAUUUUGGAGCAUUUUUUGGCAUGGAAUGGAUAGCAUAUGCCUGGAGCAAAAGGAAUGAACGAAAUUUGAAGUUUGUGCAUCAUCCUCUCCCUAUAAAUAACCAUUUUAGCACACUCAUUUCACCCA